rnacentral:lncRNA from 1 species
CGGCGAAAGUUUCUUUGUGGCCUUUUUUGGAGGGAGCUAGUGGGGGCUUCUCGCCGAAGGUGGAGAACGAGCCCUGCGAGUGAGGACGUGACACCCCGCCCCCAUAGAUGGCAGGGAGGCACUUGAUAAACUCGCCUGAGCCAGGUGUGGGGGUGGAAGCAGCAUUCCAUUGCAGCAACGUCUGCUCCCAGAUCAGACUCAGCUGGGGUUCCAGAGGGGAGAUGCUGAAAACGGGGAAGGAAAAGGAGCAAUCUAAAACCAGAGUGCCUCUGGUGCUGGUGGGAGGAGAAUAUCCCAAGGAGCCGGAGCCCCCCCUGAGAUGAAGAGCCAGGCGCCCCUUGGGGACCCCGAGAAAGAGCAACAAGUAGUCCCCUCCGCCGCAGAGCUAUCAGGAGAGUCUGUAUCUGAAGAAGGAAGACAGCUGGGGUUCCAGGCAUUAUCCUGUUUGCAUCUCAGGAGCAGAAGAGGGAUCAGCAUUUCCUUGAUAUGAAGGAGGAAACUGAGCCUUAGAGGGUUGAAGGACCUGAGGAGACAGCAGGGGGAUUGGGGCUCAAGUCCCAGUGUCCUGACUCCAGGUUUCGUGUUCUUCCCACUCUGCCGUUAUUCUCAUCCAGCUUCCUCUGCAGACACUUCAUAGAGCUGUGACACGGGAAGCAGCGUGGCAGUGCCUCAUCGACUGGCCGUGACAAGGAGAAUUGACUCUCGGGAUAAGGAAAUCAAUGAGGGCUGAGGAGAGCAGCAAGGAAGGAGAGUAGAAGAUGGAGCUGGAGGAAACUGUAGGACUUGGCCAGAGGCCUAUCGAGGGAGAGCCUUCCAGACUCCGCGGGUCCUUGUGUGUGUCGUCCAAAGGGCCACAGAAAAGCCACCAGACACUGUGUUUUCAAGAGCUUAUGGAAGCAGUGAGAACGAGAAGAAAGUGUGAUCAAGCGCUGCCCGGGCCUCAGCUGUUUUCACAUCUAUUUUAUCUUGACCUGCAACAGCCCUGCAGGUACAGUGAUGCUCAUCUGACAGGGGAAUCCAGCAAGGUACUGUCAGGACCUGUGCGGUCCAGACACGGGAGAAUGGAGGAGGAGAGGUCAGCUUCGAAUAAAUAAGGCGGAUGAGGUUGAA